AUGUUUCCUCUUGGAGUCAGGCCGCCUCCUCCUAGCGCCAUGGACCGUCAUCACCACCAGCAGCAGCAGCAGCCGCCGUCGCCUCAAGGGGACCAUGCCGCCCAGCCGCGCUGCUGGGAGGAGUUCCUCCACAGGAAGACCAUCCGGGUCCUGCUCGUGGAGACCGACGACUCCACCCGGCAGGUCGUCACCGCCCUGCUCCGCCACUGCAUGUACCAAGUUAUCCCUGCUGAAAACGGCCACCAGGCGUGGGCGUAUCUCCAGGACAUGCAGAGCAACAUCGACCUUGUUCUGACAGAGGUCUUCAUGCACGGCGGUCUCUCCGGGAUCGACCUGCUCGGCAGGAUCAUGAACCACGAGGUCUGCAAGGACAUCCCCGUCAUCAGUAAGCACCCCCUCGCCGCUAUAAUGUUUCAGUAUCAGGUCCAUUUCGUCCACGUGCAUAGAUUUAUAUCUUCUUGGUUUCCAGUGAUGUCGUCGCACAAUUCGAUGGGCACGGUCCUCAGUUGCCUGUCAAAUGGUGCUGCUGACUUCUUGGCCAAGCCGAUACGUAAGAACGAGCUUAAGAACCUUUGGGCGCAUGUGUGGAGACGCUCUCACAGCUCCAGUGGCAGUGGUAGUGGAAGUGCCAUUCAGACGCAGAAGUGUACCAAAUCAAAGAGCGCUGACGAUUCCAAUAAUAACAGCAAUAACCGCAACGACGAUGCCAGCAUGGGGCUCAAUGCAAGGGAUGGCAGCGAUAAUGGUAGUGGCACUCAGAGCUCAUGGACAAAGCGUGCCGUUGAGAUCGACAGUCCACAGGACAUGUCUCCGGAUCAGUCAGUUGAUCCUCCUGAUAGCACUUGCGCGCAUGUGAGCCACCUCAAGUCAGAGAUAUGCAGCAAUAGAUUAAGAGGUGAUGAGUUCAAAGGGAAGGAGCUGGAGAUAGGUGCCCCUGGUAAUUUGAACACAGAUGAUCAAUCCUCCCCGAACGAGAGUUCGGUCAAACCAACAGAUAAUGGACGGUGUGAGUAUCUGCCACAGAACAACUCCAACGAUACAGUUAUGGAAAAUUCGGAUGAGCCAAUUGUUCGAGCUGCUGACCUAAUCGGUUCGAUGGCCAAAAACAUGGACGCCCAACAGGCAGCUAGAGCAAUAGAUGCUCCUAACUGCUCCUCACAAGUGCCGGAAGGGAAAGACGCCGACCGUGAGAACGCCAUGCCAUAUCUUGAGCUGAGCCUAAAGAGGUCGAGAUCGACCACGGAGGGUGCGGAUGCGAUCCAGGAGGAACAGAGGAACGUCGUGAGACGAUCAGACCUCUCGGCAUUCACGAGGUGCAAAGCAUAA
rnacentral:rRNA from 1 species